rnacentral:rRNA from 1 species
AGGUCACUGCUAUCGGUGUUCGAUUAAGCCAUGCGAGUCGUCAGGGGUAAAGCCCUCGGCGGAGUGCUCAGUAACACGUGGACAACCUACCCAAGAGUCAGGGAUAACCCCGGGAAACUGGGGAUAAUACCUGAUAGGCCAUGACAUCUGGAAUCGAGUUGUGGUUUAAACGUAAGGCUCUUGGAUGGGUCUGCGGCGGAUUAGGUUGUUGCCGGUGUAACGUACCAGCAAGCCUGUAAUCCGUACGGGUUGUGGGAGCAAGAGCCCGGAGAUGGAUUCUGAGACACGAAUCCAGGCCCUACGGGGCGCAGCAGGCGCGAAAACUCUACAAUGCAGGCAACUGCGAUAGGGGAACAUCGAGUGGCAUCCACCAUGGAUGUCUGUCCAAUCGUCUAAAAAACGAUUGUCAGCAAGGGCCGGGCAAGACCGGUGCCAGCCGCCGCGGUAAUACCGGCGGCUCGAGUGGUGGCCGAUAUUAUUGAGUCUAAAGGGUCCGUAGCCGGCUUUGCAAGUCCUAUGGGAAAUCCAGCGGCUUAACCGUUGGGCUUUCAUGGGAUACUACAUUGCUUGGGACUGGGAGAGGUAGGAGGUACUCAGGGGGUAGGGGUGAAAUCCUGUAAUCCUUUGGGGACCACCGGUGGCGAAGGCGUCCUACCAGAACAGGUCCGACGGUGAGGGACGAAAGCUAGGGGCACGAACCGGAUUAGAUACCCGGGUAGUCCUAGCCGUAAACGAUGCUCGCUAGGUGUCACGGCAGUCGUGAAUUGUCGUGGUGCCGUAGGGAAGCCGUGAAGCGAGCCACUUGGGAAGUACGACCGCAAGGUUGAAACUUAA